rnacentral:lncRNA from 1 species
CAUAGGAGUUUUACUAUAUUGGAGUGUCGAAUCGUGCCUAGUAUCUGAACUUCUGCAAGAAACUGUUUCUCGUGCUUGAGAUCCAACCUUUGGCUGCUCCAAAUCCUCUUUACAGCAACAUAAUCGCCUGAUCGACGUAAGGGAACAAGGUAAACCUGUCCUGAUCCUCCACUUCCAAUUACAUUGUUUUCGGUCAGACUGGAUAUAAUGUCUGAUUCUGUGAAGUCUAACUUAUGGAACGACGUUUGUUUCCAUGUCGAAACUAAUUCUUGCUUUCUUUUUCUGUGACUUCUCCACACAAACAGGCCAUAUAGAAUUGCCACCAGCAAAGUAACUGCUGCUACACUAGCUAGAGCAGCAACAAGUCCAACCGGAAACUUGUCCGACUUGUUUUCCCCCUUACAAGCCGCGAGUCCUACCGAUGGAUUACUUGCACAAAGACCGGGAUUAUUCAA